UGAGAGAAGUUGAUAAAAUGUAUGAUAUCUAAUCUGUCAGGUCCGGAAGGAAGCAGCAGGGGUAUUUAUAGAUUUGUAUUAACUUCUCUCUCUU
rnacentral:SRP_RNA from 1 species